rnacentral:lncRNA from 1 species
ACCAUAGGUAGAGAAGAGGUAUGGGCAACAGGCCACAUGUUUGUGCACACUAUGCGCAACAAGACCUGACGAUCAGUAGGCAAUGACCCCGUGGCCAUCGCCGUAGGCCCACCGAUAGACGGGGUGUUCAAAAGCGUAGACCGAACAAGAGCAUCGGUCGGAAUAGAAGCAGGUAAAAUAUAGGGGUACGUCGGAUGGGUAAUCUGAGGUAUACUUAAGGCAUGAG